rnacentral:rRNA from 1 species
ACGCUCGACACCUACGGGAGGCAGCAGUGAGGGAUAUUGGUCAAUGGGGGGAACCCUGAACCAGCAACGCCGCGUGAGGGAUGACGGUCUUCGGAUUGUAAACCUCUGUCCUCUGUGAAGAUAAUGACGGUAGCAGAGGAGGAAGCUCCGGCUAACUACGUGCCAGCAGCCACGGUAAUCUGAGGCGGCUGGCAAGGC